UACGUAGGUGGCAAGCGUUGUCCGGAUUUACUGGGCGUAAAGAGCGCGCAGGCGGUCGAAUAAGUCGAAUGUGAAAGCCCCCGGCUUAACUGGGGAGGGUCAUUCGAUACUGCUCGACUUGAAGGCAGGAGAGGGUAGUGGAAUUCCCGGUGUAGUGGUGAAAUGCGUAGAUAUCGGGAGGAACACCAGUGGCGAAGGCGACUACCUGGCCUGUUCUUGACGCUGAGGCGCGGAAGCUGGGGGAGCAAACGGG
rnacentral:rRNA from 1 species